CGACAACAACACCCUGGUUUAGACAAACGCUCCCUUAGCUGUGACAAUGAGAUCCCUUGUGGUGGUGCUGGUAGUGGUGGUAGUGAUGGUGGUGGUGGUGGUGGGGUACCCGUCCCAACUGCCUGCAGGUGUAACCGCGGCCGACUGUCCCACCUAUCCUUUCUUCCCCUGUCGUGUCCCUGUCCAGCCGGCCCAGCCCGCCAACCCUGCCAGCGUCACCUGCUACAACUUCCCCUUCUACAGCUGCUAGAUUCGUCGUUCUACAGCUGCUAGAUUCGUCGUUCUACAGCUGCUAGAUUCGUCGUUCUACAGCUGCUAGAUUCGUCGUUCUACAGCUGCUAGAUUCGUCGUUCUACAGCUGCUAGAUUCGUCGUUCUACAGCUGCUAGAUUCGUCGUUCUACAGCUGCUAGAUUCGUCGUUCUACAGCUGCUAGAUUCGUCGUUCUACAGCUGCUAGAUUCGUCGUUCUACAGCUGCUAGAUUCGUCGUUCUACAGCUGCUAGAUUCAUCUCUCUACGGCUGCUAGAUUCAUCUCUCUACGGCUGCUAGAUUCAUCUCUCUACGGCUGCUAGAGUCAUCUCUCUACGGCUACUAGAUUCAUCUCUCUACGGCUGCUAGAUUCAUCUCUACACGGCUGCUAGAUUCAUCUCUACACGGCUCCUAGAUUCAUCUCUACACGGCUGCUAGAUUCAUCUCUACACGGCUGCUAGAUUCAUCUCUACACGGCUGCUAGAUUCGUCUCUCUCUCUCUACGGCUGCUAGAUUCAUUUCCAUCUACGGCUGCUAGAUUCGUCGUUCUACAGCUGCUAGAUUCGUCGUUCUACGGCUGCUAGAUUCGUCGUUCUACGGCUGCUAGAGUCAUCUCUACACGGAUGCUAGAGUCAUCUCCACGCGCCUCUGUAAGAUGUUCUCUCAACAAGACACAACUUAGAUAUCAAAGCCUACCUAGAACCUUCCUAGAAAACACACAACUUAACCGCAACACUUAGUUUCUGCUCGUCACUUUGACGCAAAAGUGUAACAACGUAAUUAUGGUUCUAUACGGCACGGUUUACGUCACACGUCACGAUUACGUCAUGCUUCUAUACGGUUCUAUUAUAUUGGCACAUAAGACUGAAGGUAACUGCAGAAGGCCUAUAUAUAUAUAUAUAUAUAUAUAUAUAUAUAUAUAUAUAUAUAUAUAUAUAUAUAUAUAUAUAUAUAUAUAUAUAUAUAUUUGCAUCGGGGACUUCAAUUGGUGGCUUGUAAUUGUUGAGUGGCGUGUGUUUGGUUUCGUCAACCAAUAGAAAUCCAGUUAUAAGGUCGCGGGGCUUCAUCAGCCAAUGGAAAUGCAGUUGUAUGAGGCUGCGUAAACCUCUCGAAUUUCUCCCCCAAGAAAUCUAGUCUCAGAAAUGUAUGGCUGUAUUACUGGCUUGUUGCUUGGCUUAUCUUGAGCCUGGUAAGAGGCUCCCUCAUUGGUCUGUGCUUCUUCGUAACACAAUGUUGAGUUUUGGGGUUCUAUCACGCAACGUCGACACUCUUGCGUCUGCGUCAUGCAACGUCGACACUCUUGCGUCUGCGUCAUGCAACGUCGACACUCUUGCGUCUACAACACGCAACGUCGACCUUCUUGCGUCUACAUCACAGAACGUCGACCCUCUUGCGUCUACAUCACGAAACGUCGACACUCUUGCGUCAACAUCACAGAACGUCGACCCUCUUGCGUCUACAUCACAGAACGUCGACCCUCUGCGUCGACUUUACCCAGUGUCGACCUUAUCUUCUACAUCCCUGAAUUUCUACUUCUUUAUCAAAGCACAUUGUACAUUGUUUACAAUGAUGGACUCCGACGUUACAUCUUCGUCUCCUCAUUGUCCCAUUUUCUAUUCCUCCUCUUUAUCCUUAUUCUCAUUUACUCUAUUUCUUCCCUUGCUCCUCCUGCUUGGUCGUAAUGGCUUGGCACUUUCUUUCCUGAUUGUUUCCUUCCUUUCGUCUCCUCCCUCUCCAUUGAAUUCCUCGUCGACUCGUCUUGGAGAAGGGAAUCUUGUCGUCAGCGCUGAGACUUAAGAUUUCAUCGGCAGCUUGUAAUUUUCCUGUGUAUUAUCGGCCUGGGUACUGCCGCUAUGCAGGUAAUUGGGUCAUUGGCUGAUAGGACUGCUGCCUACCCUAGUGCUGCCUUCCCUACAGCUGCCUACCCUACAGCUGCCUUCCCUACAGCUGCCUCCCCUACAGCUGUCUCCUCUGCUGCUAUGCCUCUACUAUCAUCUUUACAACUACUACUUUCCUCCAAUGCAACUUCUAUUAUCACUAUCUCUACAACUGCUAUCUCUGCUGCUACUGUCUCCUCUACUUCAACCUCUGCUACCACUCGAUCUACUAUAAGUGCUACUGACGUAGAUGUAGUAGAUCGAGUAGAUAGGGCGCGUAGACGUAUAAUUGACCUCUAUUUCUUGUAACCUGCUGUCCAUCUUAUAUUUUAAUUCCGAGUGGUCGACUUGUAUUUUGGUUUCAAUUAUUUUCAAUCAUUCAAUCGCCAGCGUCCUGAUACGCCAUGUUUGAACGCGUGUCUAAAACUGAAAACCUUUUUUUUUGGGAGGUUUUAAUCAAUCUUUUAUAUACUCAGAAUACCACGUUUUUUUCUUAGAACCUCGACUACUUAUAAAGCAAAUUGUUUUAGGAUGAUUUGAAGAAUUCAAACAGACAUCUGUAAAGUUUUGUUUUGGAUUCAAAGUGUUGUUAAUCAACGUAAUGUUCCAUUCAAAAAAUAAAAAGGAGUUUGAUUUUAUAAAUAUGUGAAAUGGUAUGUAUUAAAAUAUGAAAAUUCUGUGAUCUUUUUGCAUAAUUUCAUGUGAAUAAAAAUGCUCAUUCAAAA
rnacentral:lncRNA from 1 species